rnacentral:rRNA from 1 species
GAAACUCGCCUGCAUGAAGUCGGAAUUGCUAGUAAUCGCGGAUCAGCAUGCCGCGGUGAAUACGUUCCCGGGCCUUGUACACACCGCCCGUCACACCAUGGGAGUCGGUAACACCCGAAGCCUGUAGUCUAACCGUGAGGAGGACGCAGUCGAAGGUGGGAUUGAUGACUGGGGUGAAGUCGUAACAAGGUACC